AAGCUCGUGGGAGUCUGAGCUCAAUCUCACACUCACGCGCAAGGACUGGCAAUGCAUUUUCGUUGAUAUACAUAAAUCCAGCAUUAGCACACACACUCAAGAAGGUAACUACAAACGUAUAUCCAGGUGGCAUUUAGCACAAUCAAAAAUACAAACAAUGUUCCCCAAUGCAUCGGCAGCUUGCUGGAGAUGCUCCCACCCGGCGGGGACAACGGGCCAUAUAUGGUGAACCUUCCCAACGAUUCAAGUAUACUGGUCUAAAAU